rnacentral:rRNA from 1 species
AGUGAACGCUGGCGGUAGGCCUAACACAUGCAAGUCGAACGGCAGCACAGUAAGAGCUUGCUCUUACGGGUGGCGAGUGGCGGACGGGUGAGGAAUACAUCGGAAUCUACUUUUUCGUGGGGGAUAACGUAGGGAAACUUACGCUAAUACCGCAUACGACCUACGGGUGAAAGCAGGGGAUCUUCGGACCUUGCGCGAUUGAAUGAGCCGAUGUCGGAUUAGCUAGUUGGCGGGGUAAAGGCCCACCAAGGCGACGAUCCGUAGCUGGUCUGAGAGGAUGAGCAGCCACACUGGAACUGAGACACGGUCCAGACUCCUACGGGAGGCAGCAGUGGGGAAUAUUGGACAAUGGGCGCAAGCCUGAUCCAGCCAUACCGCGUGGGUGAAGGAGGCCUUCGGGUUGUAAAGCCCUUUUGUUGGGAAAGAAAAGCAGCAGGUUAAUACCCCGCUGUUCUGACGGUACCCAAAGAAUAAGCACCGGCUAACUUCGUG